rnacentral:rRNA from 1 species
CGGGGUGCAGCAGGCGCGAAAACUUUACAAUGCUGGCAACAGCGAUAAGGGGACCUCGAGUGCCAGGAUACAAUCUUGGCUGUCGCGAUGCCUAAAAAGCAUUGCAUAGCAAGGGCCGGGCAAGACCGGUGCCAGCCGCCGCGGUAACACCGGCGGCUCGAGUGGUAACCGCUAUUAUUGGGUCUAAAGGGUCUGUAGCCGGCCGGAUAAGUCUUUUGGGAAAUCCAGCUGCUCAACAGUUGGGCUUUCAGAAGAUACUGUUCGGCUCGAGACCGGGAGAGGUGAGAGGUACUUCAGGGGUAGGGGUGAAAUCUUGUAAUCCUUGAAGGACCACCAGUGGCGAAGGCGUCUCACCAGAACGGAUCUGACGGCAAGGGACGAAAGCUAGGGGCACGAACCGGAUUAGAUACCCGGGUAGUCCUAGCCGUAAACGAUACUCGCUAGGUGUCAGCCACGGUGCGACCGUGGUUGGUGCCGUAGGGAAGCCGUGAAGCGAGCCACCUGGGAAGUACGGCCGCAAGGCUGAAACUUAAAGGAAUUGGCGGGGGAGCACAAG